AUGGUUCCUCCUCCCUCACCACCCUUGACGGUGGUGCAGCAAGGGGUUAUACGGGGGUCCCUCCGGUGGAGGGGUCGGUUGCAAUGCAGUUGUGACCUAAUACGGCCUCCACCCGGCAGGGUGUGCCAUGCCUCCCCUCCCGGGUCAGUGGGAAUUUGUCUGGCCUGUCUGGCGAUGCUUAUACAGCCCAAGGCACUGAAGGACCUGCACGAGAGUGGUCACAAUCUCCGAACCGCCGCUGUCCGAGCGACGAAGGUCAAGGCGAGUUCUCUGGGUUGUGCGACGUCCACAUUUGUGGUCCAGGAUUCACCAGCUGGCAGCAGCGGGCGGUUCGAGAGUGUCAACAAAGGCCCUACUCAUGCACCCUCUGCCAACCUGUGGAACUGGGUAAGCAUUGCACCGUACACUCAGACCCCUCUCCGGUCUGGUCACAAGCUGCCCGAGUUGGGUCCCUGCGUUCCACCUUGCUGCCCCACUGCGGGUGUGGCCGUGGUUCCGUUGGUCCCACUUGCAUGGUUUCUGGGUGCCUGGCUAGCUCUACCCAGCCCGUCUCACUGGCUUCUGCGGACCAUCAGCCUCGGCUAUGUGAUUCAGUUUGCCUGGCGUCCCUCCAAGUUCAGCGGCAUCCACUUCAAUACAGUGAAGGCAGCCGAUGCUCUUGUCUUGCGUGCAGAGAUCACAGUCCUACUGGCUAAGGAUGCGAUAGAACCGGUCCCUCCAGCCGAUAUGAGAAUGGGGUUUUACAGCCCUUACUUCACUCUACCCAAGAAAGGUGGUGGGUUACGGCCAAUCUUGGAUCUUCAAAUCUUGAACCGGGCCCUUCAUCGGUUACCGUGCAGGAUGUUGAUGCAGAAACGCAUCUUCGGGUGCGUCCGUCCCCAAGAUUGGUUUGCAGCGAUUGACAUGAAGGACAUGUACUUUCAUUUGUCGAUCCUUCCGCGCCACAGACAUUUUCUGCAGUUUGUGUUCGAAGGACGGGCAUAUCAGUACAAGGUCCUGCCCUUCGGGCUGUCCCUGUCCCCCCGUGUCUUCAUGAAAUUUGCGGAGGUGACUCUUGUUCCCCUCAGAGAGCAGAGCAUCUCAAUGAUUGGCUUAUACUAG
ensembl:lncRNA